UGGGUUCAGAACGUCGUGAGACAGUUCGGUCCCUAUCUGUCGCGGGCGCAGGAAAUUUGAGAGGAGCUGUCCUUAGUACGAGAGGACCGGGAUGGACGUACCGCUGGUGUACCAGUUGUUCCGCCAGGAGCACCGCUGGGUAGCCAAGUACGGACGGGAUAAGCGCUGAAAGCAUCUAAGCGCGAAGCCCCCCUCAAGAUGAGAUUUCCCAAUUUAGUAAGACCCCUUGAAGACGACGAGGUUGAUAGGUUCGGGGUGGAAGCGCAGCAAUGCGUGCAGCUGACGAAUACUAAUCGGUCGAGGGCUUAUCCUA
rnacentral:rRNA from 1 species